UACCAGACUCCUACGGGAGGCAGCAGUGAGGAAUAUUGGUCAAUGGGCGCGAGCCUGAACCAGCCAAGUCGCGUGAGGGAUGAAGGAUCUAUGGUUCGUAAACCUCUUUUAUAAGGGAAUAAAGUGCGGGACGCGUCCCGCUUCGCAUGUGCCUUAUGAAUAAGGAUCGGCUAACUCCGUGCCAGCAGCCGCGGUAAUACGGAGGAUCCGAGCGUUAUCCGGAUUUAUUGGGUUUAAAGGGUGCGUAGGCGGCCUUUUAAGUCAGCGGUAAAAAGUCGGGGCUCAACCCCGUCCGGCCGUUGAAACUGGGGGCCUUGAGUGGGCGAGAAGAAGGCGGAAUGCGUGGUGUAGCGGUGAAAUGCAUAGAUAUCACGCAGAACUCCGAUUGCGAAGGCAGCGCACCGGCGCCCUACUGACGCUCAGGCACGAAAGCGUGGGUAUCGAACAGGAUUAGAUACCCCAGUA
rnacentral:rRNA from 1 species